AUAUAUAUUACCAUGAAAGGCUACUCAUCCAAUACUCUAAAAUUUCUCCAUUAUCACUUCCCUUACAAUUCCUUUUUUUUUUCCCUUUUCCUAAUCAUCAACCACUGCAGAUUCCUUUCCUUUUAUUUGUUUAUUUUUUCCUUCUUUGAAAAUCUUAGACAAAAGGGUCAGGGUGAUAUUGAGUUCUUUGUUGUCAUCAUGUUGAUGGGUUGUCUUGCUUUUGGUUCAAGGGAAUUCAGUUUUUUUCAGAUUCCUGUUCAUGCAUGAUCAUCAUCAUCUUGUUAUUUUCUUGUUGGCCCUCUUUUGGUAUCUGGGGUUUUGAAGAAAAUUCUGAAUCUUUUUGUUAUCUGACACCAACACCAAUUUGGAUUUAAAAGACUGUAUCUUUCCUGGAACCACUCAGUUAUUCAGGUUUCAAAGAUUUUUUGAUGUGCAGUGAAAAGCAAGCUUCUGAUCAAAUGAUUUCCAGAUAUGGGGAUUAGAAAGCUGUGGUUAUUUAAGUUUCAGAGUGAUAGAUAUUUGGGGUAUGUGCUUAUACAAUUGUAACUGAACUGGGCUGGUUGCGAUUUUGUCAGCAAGAAUGUUGGUUAAAAGAGUGGUUUGAUUGUUUGGUGAGGGGAAUAUUGGAUGGGCAUGCCCUCUAGUUGCAAGUAUCCAAUGUUCUUCGGCAGAAACUUGAAUUCUAUAACAUGUAAAGGUCUUGCUUUGAUUGUGAUUGCUCUGUUUCUUAGAGUUGUGCUGCUUCCUUCAUUCUUAGGCUAUGGUGGGAUAGAUAAAAACAAUCUUGAUUUGAUUCAUAGCCGAUCUUUGUCCUUGGAUUCUGAUAAUGGAACUCGUAAAGAUAAAUUCUUAGAAGUUCCUCAGAUAGUAUGGGGCCUAAACAAUCAAAAGAUAGCAUUUGCGAGAUCUUGUCUAACUGCUAGAAUGCUGAACCGGACUCUGCUAAUGCCUAGUUUAAGCGCUUCCCUGUUCUAUAAGGAAAUAGAUCGCCUCCAGCCUAUUUCCUUCGACAAGGUGUUUCAAUUUGAGAGGUUUAAUGCCCUCUGUAAUGGAUUUGUGCAGUUGGGCCGUUAUUCAGAUCUUCAGAAUCGGACUGGAGUGUAUGAGCUUCAGAAGGGAAGUGGGAGGAAGUGGACAGUUGAGAGGGAUUUGGAUCAAUUGAAAGAGUUUAGCGAGGAUUCAUUUAAUGGAUAUGAGGUAAUAAGAAUAGUUGGGAAGAACCCCUUUUUGUGGCAUGAUCAUUGGCCAGUUAAGGACUAUGCCAGGGUCUUUGAAUGCUUGGUUUUGGUUGAUGAGAUAGCUAAAGAGGCGGAUAAAGUUGUGUCAAAGAUUAGAGAAGUAGGAAAAGAGAUAAGGAGCAAAUCUCAGUCUGCUCAGAGUGGUGUUGAUCCUGAUAGUUCUUUGUUGCAGCCAGUGCCUUAUGUGGCGGUUCACAUGAGAAUAGAGAUAGAUUGGAUGAUUCACUGUAAGAAGUUAGAGCAAAGAUUAAAUGUUAGUGAAAUUUGCAGUAGCAAGCAGGAGAUUAUGGAGAGAGUAGGGAACAUUGUUGGCUUAAAAAGUCCUAUUGUUGUUUAUCUUGCUGUGGCAGAUAGUCUGCUUGAAGAUUCUUCUAUACUCACCGGGUGGAAGGAAGGGUUGCUUCCUGUUGAGAAGAAGAAGCUCAGUGUUGAUGGAAUUUACAAGAAAUACCCAUAUCUCAUUCAGUCAGCAAUAGAUUAUGAAGUUUGCUCUAAGGCUGAUGUAUUUGUCGGGAAUAGUUUCUCGACAUUUUCAAGCCUCAUAGCUCUUGACAGAACACAGAAGAUGACUAGAAUGGGUGUGACAAGCUCGUGUGGCGUGGAUGUAAGAUGGCCUUCAUAUGCAUACAAUAUUUUGGGGGAAUCCAAUGGUCCUCAUAAAUGGAUGACAAAUAUGUCUGAUUCAAGCCUCAAAGCAAUUAGCUAUGGCUCUAAUAUCAUCUCCUGUUGAAGAUUAUGGAAUGCAUCCUGCUACAGACACUUCAGUUCAGAACCUUAAUCGAGUUCGCGAGGAAAUUGGUUGGUAUAGUUUCGAUAAUUUUUUCUGUACAGAGAAACAAGGAUAUAGACUGUCAGGAUAGCACGUUAGACCAGAUUUAAGUAUACUUUUCAUUAUUUCUGUUAUUUAAUUUUUUUCUAUUAAUUCACUUAUGUUCAUAGAGAUUGAAUUUUUUCUGAUCUUUGGAUGCUAAGUGUGCUGCCCUCAAAUUCCGAAAGAGUAUUACCAGUCCUAACAGAAAUAUUUAAUGAAGUCCAUGGACUUAUAUAACUGGAUAUCACCCAUUUCUGCAAUGCUUGGUUUGGUGACCAGUAGAACGGGUAAAAAGAACAGAAAAAGAAAUUUAAGAGUUGAACGAUGUUAUUCAAUAGUUUACUGCACUUGUCUGUGUAAUUUUGAGGGUUUAAUUCAUAGAAUACUAUUUCAAUUGUACAUAGUCUGAUGUUCAUGCAGAGAGUAGAGAUUCAGAACUCUUUUCAAGCUCCACAUUGCAGGAAAUCAUUAUCAAGAAAAGCCAGUUGGGAUUCCUUGUUGGGUUGGACCUUUCACUCAGGAGGUUGAAGCGUGAGGUUUCGUUGGGUGGUGUCUUGAAUCAGAAAUAACUUGCUCAUGCUACUAUCCAUUGUGGUGGACCUCCCCCACAGUGCCCGGAUUUAUUAGAAACUUGAGAUGCGGUCACUGAAUCAUGUUAUAGAAAUUCCCACUUUAAUAUUCAAGAUGAAAUUGAUAAUUUUUUUUAAGAAAAAUCAGUUUUUCUUGCUACAGUUACAACUACUGCAGGAAAACAUUUUCUUCUGAAUAAUGAGAUGCAACAUAAGAUUGGAUCUUCCUAUCAUAGUCAAGAUUGAAGUUGCUAUGAUAUAUAAAUGUUAAUUCUAAUUCAUAUUUGAAACAAAAUCAUCGAGACUCCUAUCCUGCCACAAAAAACCUCCGUGCAAUUCCGCGCAUGGCAUUUCCCACCUCACACCAAGCUAUGAUGUUAGGUAAAUCUUUGGGAUGCUAGUGGCUACACAAAUGCAAAAUGACUUGAGAGAUCACACAGAGUCAUCACAGAAAGGAAUAAAAUAACAGCCUCCCCAUCACUUGCCAUCUUUCAAGGUCAUAUCCAUGACCACUUUGGAGGCUUAAAGCUUACCUUAAGUACCUUGUUUCUGAUCCACAGAGAAUCUACCGUCCUAAUCCUACUCAAGAUGGGAACAAGAACCAACUGAUUUCAUAUCAAAAUUCUCAGGAAUGACUGCAAGAGAAGAAAACCGUGUUGAUUGAUGCAACAAGCAAUGGCAUAUUGCUUUGCAUGGUUUAACAAGCUCGAUUUAACCAAUUGUUUCAUCAACUUCCAAGCACUAAAAGUGAAAGCUUUCCUUCAUUACAACAAUUCACAGUA